AUUGAACGCUGGCGGCAUGCCUUACACAUGCAAGUCGAACGGCAGCACGGGUGCUUGCACCUGGUGGCGAGUGGCGAACGGGUGAGUAAUACAUCGGAACGUACCUUAUCGUGGGGGAUAACGCAGCGAAAGUUGCGCUAAUACCGCAUACGCCCUGAGGGGUAAAGCGGGGGACCGUAAGGCCUCGCGCGAUUAGAGCGGCCGAUGUCUGAUUAGCUUGUUGGUGAGGUAAAAGCUCACCAAGGCGAUGAUCAGUAGCUGGUCUGAGAGGACGAUCAGCCACACUGGGACUGAGACACGGCACAGACUCCUACGGGAGGCAGCAGUGGGGAAUUUUGGACAAUGGGGGCAACCCUGAUCCAGCAAUGCCGCGUGAGUGAAGAAGGCCUUCGGGUUGUAAAGCUCUUUUGUCAGGGAAGAAACAGCAGCUCUAACACAGUCUGCGAAUGACGGUACCUGAAGAAUAAGCACCGGCUAACUACGUGCCAGCCGCCGCAGUAA
rnacentral:rRNA from 1 species